UACAGAGGUCUCAACCGUUGUUCGGAUUCAUUGGGCGUAAAGGGUGCGUAGGCGGUCGCGCAAGUCGGAUGUGAAAUCUCAGGGCUCAACCCUGAAACUGCAUUCGAUACUGCGUGGCUAGAGUGCUGGAGAGGAGACUGGAAUUUACGGUGUAGCAGUGAAAUUCGUAGAUAUUCGGAAGAACACCAGUGGCGAAGGCGGCUCGCUGGUCCGGUACUGACGCUGAGGUGCGAAAGCGUGGGGAGCAAACAGG
rnacentral:rRNA from 1 species